AGAGUUUGAUCCUGGCUCAGAACGAACGCUGGCGGCAUGCCUAACACAUGCAAGUCGAACGAGAGGCUUCGGCCUCUAGUGGCGCACGGGUGAGUAGCGCGUGGGAACCUGCCCUGGAGUGGGGGAUAACCGAGGGAAACUUCGGCUAAUACCGCAUGAUCCCGGGAAACCGGGCAAAGAUUUAUCGCUCUAGGAGGGGCCCGCGUCGGAUUAGGUAGUUGGUGGGGUAACGGCCUACCAAGCCUGUGAUCCGUAGCUGGUCUGAGAGGAUGAUCAGCCACACUGGGACUGAGACACGGCCCAGACUCCUACGGGAGGCAGCAGUGGGGAAUAUUGGACAAUGGGGGCAACCCUGAUCCAGCAAUGCCGCGUGAGUGAGGAAGGCCUUCGGGUUGUAAAGCUCUUUCGGCGGGGACGAUGAUGACGGUACCCGCAGAAGAAGCCCCGGCUAACUUCGUGCCAGCAGCCGCGGUAAUACGAAGGGGGCGAGCGUUGUUCGGAUUUACUGGGCGUAAAGGGCGCGCAGGCGGCGAUCAUUUGUCAGGCGUGAAAGCCCCGGGCUCAACCUGGGAAUUGCGCUUGAAACGGGAUUGCUAGAGAUCGG
rnacentral:rRNA from 1 species